GGACCCCAGCGUGGAGGGGGCCGGGCGCGCCCCGGGGCAGCACGAGGCCGGCACCCACAGGCACGGAGGACAAGGCCGCGCCUCCUGCGUCCUCGGUCACCCUCGACGUAGAACUUCCUUCCAAAUGAACGCCGGCCCUCCCGUGGCCACAGUAACGAUUCUGACGUUUAAUCUGUAGACAACGAAUUUUGGGCACGUGCGAUCGGAAGCCAGAGCCUCUGCGGGCAAAGAAAGCCAAACCUGAAGCUACCGUCAGCCGCCCGGAUGCCGUUUUACGCUGCGUUAUCCCGGCACGUGGCCUUCGGAGUUUCACACACGGAGGAUGUGAAGAAACGUCAGACGCCUGUGACGUCCGACAACAUAGACAACCCAACGUCAGGGUAAACCGAACGCACCACGCGUCGAUUCUGAACGCUCGGCUCCUAGAACCGGGUGAAACUGUUGUGUCACGGGAUUGCACAACCGUUCACUCGUAUUCAUUCAUUCGGAAGCCGUCGGCCGAGUGCCUCGCAGGUGGCGGGCAUUGAUCCCGUCCCCGGGGAGGGAACAAACAGGCCGAAGGUGACACGGAGAGGACCCUUGCCCUAGGGGAGCUGCGUCUAGAUACACGUGUUGUUGGCAGACCCCGAGCGCUCCUUGGGGCCGAGGGACCAGCCGCUUUCACACGCAGAGGAAAAUUACGCUGACGGAGGGCUGGGGGGGGGGGGGCUUCGGUUUUCAUCAGGGAAGUCAGGAAGGCCCCGGAGAAAGGAGGGUUGAGGGGAGAUUUGCCGGGGCUGCAAGAACAGCCAUCCUACUUUCCACUUCCAGAACAUUCCACGGGAAGGGAACAUGGAGGCACGGGGGAGGCGAUACGUUUCCUUUGCCCUCACAGGGCCUCCAGCAGGGCCUAAGCAUGAAGCCGACCUGAGGCAGAGGAACAGGAGGCUCGCGUGCGGCGCAGGUGCCAGCCCCAGAAGGGAGACGGGCCCGGCCCGAGCGUCUCCAGGCCAAGCUGAGCGAAGAGGGAAGCCCCGGAGCAAAGCAGCGAUUCACUCAGGGAGACGCCAGGCAGACUGGAGUGAUCUUAGCAAGGCCUGUGUGGACGGAUUUCUCUUGGCCUCGACGACCCGUCCUUGGUGACAGGAACGCCACUCUCUCCCUGGUCCCUGGAGCCCAUCAUCCGUGCGGGGCUCUCACCUCCCACUUUCAGGACGAUAGGGAGAGGUCAGACUGCUCUUCUGCUCUUCUUCAACUGCCUUCGCCUCAAAAGAAUCCGCAUGCCAAGGUGGCGUCACUUGGGGUGACACAUUCCGCUACCCUUCAGAGUCCCCAGCCUGCCUGGCGGGUGAGGAGCAGCAAGGGGCCCAUGUGAUGGGAGCAGGGUGCAAGGGAUGGUGGUGGCCCGACGUCUGAGAGGAGAAAGCAGGGUGGGCGCACCAGCCCUCGGGGGGCCUGGAGGGUCCUGCGUGGGCCCUGGUGGCGCUCUGAGGGGAGGUGUGAUGCCACAGCAGCGGCCUGUGUUGGGGUGCGGGCUGGGGAGGCAGGCAGGGGGCCAGUUCUGGGAAUAUUCUCACGUAGAGCCAACAGGAUCUGCUGAUGAUUACAUGCAGCUGUGAGAGAAAGAGGAUGAUCCCCUCCGCCCCCCAAGGUGUUUGGCUGGAGCACCUAGAAGAGGAUCCCAUUAACUGCGGUGGGAAGGCAAGGAAAAACGGGAAUGGGUGAAGGGGCUCCAGAGUUCUGCUUUGGACAAGUUAGGUUUGCCCGUCAGGUUUGCCGUGAUGGGGAUGGAAGGUGGACAGGUGGGCAAAGGAGUCUCCUGUCUGCAGAUGCACACUUGGGAGCCAUCUUGCACUAGCGGCGCAUUGAAAAUGUUGGUACCCCCCGAGGCAGAAGACACGGAGAGGAAAAGACCAAGGACUGUGCCCUGGGACCCCGACUCUCGCUAGGAGCCCUGGACGUCCGAAGUCUAAAAUGAGUCAGCAGAGCCAUGCUCCUUCUGGAGGCUCCAGAGCAGGAUCUGUCUCCUGGCCUCUCCCAGCUUCCCGGGGCGCCGGCAUGCCUUAGCUCGCGGCCCCUUCCUCCGUCAAAGCCAGCAGUGCGGCACCCACCCACCUCUCUCUGCUCCCGUCACCACAGGUCCCUUUCUCUGGCUGGGCCCCUCUGGCCUUGUUCUUACAAGGAUCCUUGCGGCCACACGGGGCCCACCCAGAGAUGAGGGCGAUCUCCCCGUCUCAACAUCCUUGCCUUCACCACGUCUGCAAAGUCCCCUUCGCCAUGUAACCUAUUUGCACAAGCGGAGGAAGUGCAUGAGAGAAGCGUGACUGAGGCACCUGGGCAGCUCAGUCUAUUAGGCGUGUGACUCUUGAUUUUGGCUCAGGAUCAUGAGAUCGAGCCCCACGUUGGGUUCUCUGCUGUGCGUGGAGUCUGCCGGAAAUUCUCUCUCUCCCUCUCCACCUGCACCUCCCCAAUUCAUGCAUGCACGCUCUGUAUCAAAAAAAAAAAAAAAAAAAAA